AGCAACAACCCGCAGCAUGAUGGGUGAAAUUACAGAGAAGAAGCCCCAUACGAUCCUUGCUGGAUGAGAUGUGUUGUCUUCCAGGGCCCAUUUUAUUUUAAUUAAAAUUGAAAGGCUCCUCUAAACAAGGCCCUAGAUUAAGCAGAGGCCAGAGCAAGCUGCUGUAAAGCCAUCACAGCUGCAUUCCUUAAUGUUGCCUUUUUAACCUGAAUGGAUUAUUUGUGUUUUUCCCCCCAAAUAAACAAGGCAGCAUGGGAUCCUGGUAUCCAUCCAUAAACACUAGUUGAAGAGACACAAGUUUCUUCACAUAAGAAUCUUUGUUUAAGGAGCUUGGGGAAGAAUUUCCCACAGUUUUUGACAUGAGAUUUAACUCUCUACCCUAGCCUGGGAUUGAACUCACCAUAUGUAGCAUAGGCUGAUGUUGAAUUCACAGCCAUUCUCCAGCCUCAGAUUCCCAAAGGCUGGGUUCACAGGUUCCUGAGGAGACCAAAGGCAUGAGAUUCUCUGGAGUUGAAGCUACAGCCUGUGGUGAUGGAGGUGCUGGUGACCUAACUCAGGAACUCUUCAAGAGAAAUCCAUGGAACUCAUUCCCAGACCCUCAUAGCUUUCCUGUGUGUGCAGAACAGGACAGAACAUAACUUAGAUGUGUCCUAUGGAGAAGAGAAAAAACAUCUGCAUUUGUUGUAACAGGAAGCCUGCCAUUUAAGUGUAUUUUCUCUACUCCUUCUCAUUUUGUGUUGCUUUAAUGAUUAGGAAGAACCCCACCUUACCUUACUGUGUGUUCAUGAGGCAUGGAAGAAGGACCACAUA